AGCGAACGCUGGCGGCAGGCUUAACACAUGCAAGUCGAGCGGGCCCUUCGGGGUCAGCGGCGGACGGGUGAGUAACGCGUGGGAACGUGCCUUCUGGUCUGGAAUAACCCUGGGAAACUAGGGCUAAUACCGGAUACGCCCUUUUGGGGAAAGGUUUACUGCCGGAAGAUCGGCCCGCGUCCGUUUAGCUAGUUGGUGGGGUAACGGCCUACCAAGGCGACGAUCAGUAGCUGGUCUGAGAGGAUGAUCAGCCACACUGGGACUGAGACACGGCCCAGACUCCUACGGGAGGCAGCAGUGGGGAAUAUUGGACAAUGGGCGCAAGCCUGAUCCAGCCAUGCCGCGUGAGUGAUGAAGGUCUUAGGGUUGUAAAGCUCUUUUAUCCGGGACGAUAAUGACGGUACCGGAGGAAUAAGCCCCGGCUAACUUCGUG
rnacentral:rRNA from 1 species